rnacentral:rRNA from 1 species
UACGGAGGGUGCGAGCGUUGUCCGGAAUCACUGGGCGUAAAGGGCGCGUAGGUGGCUUGGUAAGUGUGUGGUGAAAGCCCGGGGCUCAACCCCGGGUCUGCCGCGCAAACUGCCAGACUUGAGCACACUAGAGGCAGGUAGAAUUCCGGGUGUAGCGGUGGAAUGCGUAGAGAUCCGGAAGAAGACCGGUGGCGAAGGCGGCCUGCUGGGGUGGUGCUGACACUGAGGCGCGACAGCGUGGGGAGCAAAC